GAGUCAUGAACUUCAAACCCUAACCCUCCACUCUCCCUCUUUUGGUUCGUCGCUCCUCCUACCAUUCCUUGCUGUCAAAGUUGCUGUCACCGACAUGGCAUUGUGAUUCUUUUGGCUUGCUUCAGUUCUGAACUUUUCCAGCUUUGCUGUGCCAUUUUUGUCGCUUGCUCUGUUCGAUUUUUGGUGGUUAAAAGGGGAUUGAGGAGAGUUCCUAUUACGGACGUGAUUAAAUUUAAGUAUUAUUGUGGGAACUUAUCAGAUAGCACCGUAGACCCUGUCCCUCCAGCUGAGCAGUGAAGAGCCUCAGUGAAGAUCCAGAACUUCUGAAUCUAUUUUGAAUAGUUGUUAACUAAUGUAAAC